UAUGUUUCAUAAGUUCAUUCGGUGAAAAUGAUGUCAUUAAGUAUGUUUCCGUGCCUUACUUGUACAAGUGAACAGAAUGGAUCGAGUUGCACUAAAGCGAACACUAACCUAGCGCUGGAAGCGUUCCCGCCAAGUUCGCGUCCAUUUUUGUUUUUCUUUUAUGUGUGAUGUUGAAUGUGUGACGUAGUGUAAUUGUUGGUGUCUUGUGUGUAAUUGUUUCUAGUUUGUACAAGCUCCUGAACGCAAGGAACACCAUGGAAACGUCUGCACAAGGAAAGGCAUCCCUGUCAAGGUCUUUGCAGUGCUCGUGGCCGCGGCUGCUUCGCGGUGCUCAUCGAAUUUGGCCAAUCCCCUGAGCUUUCCUCAGCCGGUCCAAGGAACAUGUCAGCAGCUUUUCCCUAUGAAGUCGGUCCAAUAUCCGUAGAAAAACUGCAGCAGAUGUCUGCACCGAAACUGAGAAUGAGACAACACCCGAAAUGACAAUGACGCAUAUGCAAAUGUACCCUUUUCAUUCUCGUGUCGUCUGCCACGUCUUAUUGACACAUGCUAUCAAGUGGCGCUUGUGUCGUGGCAACAACGUCACCACCACCAUCAUCAUCAUCACCAUCGUUCCAAGAGUACGCUGUACGAAG